rnacentral:rRNA from 1 species
CUACGGGGUGCUGCAGUGAGGAAUUUUGCGCAAUGGGGGAAACCCUGACGCAGCGACGCCGCGUGGAUGAUGAAGGCCUUCGGGUCGUAAAAUCCUGUCAGAAGGAAAGAAGUGUAUGGUAGCUAAUAUCUGCCAUACUUGACGGUACCUUCAAAGGAAGCACCGGCUAACUCCGUGCCGGCAGCCGCGGUAAUACGGAGGGUGCAAGCGUUGUUCGGAAUUACUGGGCGUAAAGCGCGCGUAGGCGGUUUUAUAAGUCAGAUGUGAAAGUCCACGGCUCAACCAUGGAAGUGCAUUUGAAACUGUAAGACUUGAGUAUUGGAGGGGGUAGUGGAAUACCCGGUGUAGAGGUGAAAUUCGUAGAUAUCGGGAGGAAUACCGGUGGCGAAGGCGACUAUCUGGCCAAAUACUGACGCUGAGGUGCGAAAGCGUGGGGAGCAAACAGGAUUAGAUACCCUAGUAGUC